rnacentral:rRNA from 1 species
AGCACCGGCUAACUACGUGCCCAGCAGCCGCGGUAAUACGUAGGGUGCCGAGCGUUCAUCGGAAUUACUGGGCGUAAAGCGUGCGCAGGCGGUUUGCUAAGACCGAUGUGAAAUCCCCGGGCUCAACUGGGAACUGCAUUGGUGACUGGCAGUAGAGUAUGGCAGAGGGGGGUAGAAUUCCACGUGUAGCAGUGAAAUGCGUAGAGAUGUGGAGGAAUACCGAUGGCGAAGGCAGCCCCCUGGGCCAAUACUGACGCUCAUGCACGAAAGCGUGGGGAGCAAACAGGAUUAGACCCUGGUAGUCCACGCCCUAAACGAUGUCAACUAGUUGUUGGGGAUUCAUUUCCUUAGUAACGUAGCUAACGCGUGAAGUUGACCGCCUGGGGAGUACGGUCGCAAGAUUAAAACUCAAAGGAAUUGACGGGGACCCGCACAAGCGGUGGAUGAUGUGGAUUAAUUCGAUGCAACGCGAAAAACCUUACCUACCCUUGACAUGGUCGGAAUCCUGCUGAGAGGCGGGAGUGCUCGAAAGAGAACCGGCGCACAGGUGCUGCAUGGCUGUCGUCAGCUCGUGUCGUGAGAUGUUGGGUUAAGUCCCGCAACGAGCGCAACCCUUGUCCUUAGUUGCUACGCAAGAGCACUCUAAGGAGACUGCCGGUGACAAACCGGAGGAAGGUGGGGAUGACGUCACAUGGCCCUUAUGGGUAGGUUCACACGUCAUACAAUGGUCGGAACAGAGGGUUGCCAACCCGCGAGGGGGAGCUAAUCCCAGAAAACCGAUCGUAGUCCGGAUUGCACUCUGCAACUCGAGUGCAUGAAGCUGGAAUCGCUAGUAAUCGCGGAUCAGCAUGCCGCGGUGAAUACGUUCCCGGGUCUUGUACACACCGCCCGUCACACCAUGGGAGUGGGUUUUACCAGAAGUGGCUAGUCUAACCGCAA